UUACUGACGCUAAAGCUCGAAGGUGCGGGUAUCGAACAGGAUUAGAUACCCUGGUAGUCCGCACGGUAAACGAUGGAUGCCCGCUGUUUGCGAUAUAGUGUGAGCGGCCAAGCGAAAGCGUUAAGCAUUCCACCUGGGGAGUACGCCGGCAACGGUGAAACUCAAAGGAAUUGACGGGGGCCCGCACAAGCGGAGGAACAUGUGGUUUAAUUCGAUGAUACGCGAGGAACCUUACCCGGGCUUGAACUGCAGCAGAACGAUUGAGAGAUCAUGAGGUCCUUCGGGACUGCUGUGGAGGUGCUGCAUGGUUGUCGUCAGCUCGUGCCGUGAGGUGUCGGCUUAAGUGCCAUAACGAGCGCAACCCCUCUCUUCAGUUGCCAUCAGGUAGAGCUGGGCACUCUGGAGACACUGCCACCGUAAGGUGUGAGGAAGGUGGGGAUGACGUCAAAUCAGCACGACCCUUACGUCCGGGGCUACACACGUGUUACAAUGGGUGGUACAGAGCGUCGGCGGCCUGCAAAGUCCGUCCAAUCGCAAAAUCCAUCCUCAGUUCGGACUGGGGUCUGCAACCCGACCCCACGAAGCUGGAUUCGCUAGUAAU
rnacentral:rRNA from 1 species